CUGCUCUUCUGGUAUGAAACUUCCCUUGCCCAAACUUUAACCUGGAGGAGUUUGUAGCUCAAAGAGGAGCUAGAAACCCAGAGGCACAAAAUGGAACAAACAGAGUGGAGGAAGAGACCAAGAAGGGCAGUGACCUGGGCUUUGCUCCUAGCCUGGAUAUUGGACAACUGUACCAUUCUGGAAAAAGUCACUUCCACAUUGAAAAUUGGUGUUUUGGGCUGAACUACAAAAGUCCCCCUCUAUGAGCACUGCUUGGAACAGUCCUUGGUUUUUCACAGAACAUGCUGCUCUUUCCCUGUAGAAACUGGGGUUGAAUCUGUCUCUGCCUCUCAUCCUGUUGCUUCAUCCUCCCUGUUGAAGAUGUAAAUAUUUCCAUCUUCACAUAUUGUUUACUAUACAUCUGCCCAGUGGGACCUGGUGAUGCCUCUGCAAUUCACCUCUCCAAGGAGAGCCUGGAAAUCCAAUGGGGCAACUGCUUGGAGAGGAGGUUUCUGUUUGUAGGUAAAGGAAAGGCAGAAGCUUGCUGAUCUUUUUGGAGACUCAUUUCUGUCACUAAGGGCUCUUGGGAAAGCCUAAAAUGUCUGUUUAAUCUCUGCCCAGACAGAGACUACAUCUGACAGGAAACCCACUCUGGGGGAAGUGGCAAGUGUUCCUCUGGGCUGUGAUGUCAACUUUGUCAUACAGAUGCACAUCUGGAAUAAUUCAGGUGACUCUAAGGAGGCCAGGUCUGUGCUAUACAACAGGACUGAGUUUUAAGAUAGAUCAGACAAAUAUGUAACUUAAGGUGUUAACCCUUUUUGUUCCUCAGAUUCCAUAUACAUUGCACUAGAUUUAAAAUUGCUCCUGGCAAUAUUCCUCAGCCUUUUUUGAAGCAAAAAGGAGUCCAAUGCAUCCUUGGUCUAACAGGAAUAUUCUGUCUGAGGAUUUAUGGGUCAAUGUCUUAAUAUAUCUCUAAAAUGGUAGUAAAAACUACCCUGGUAACUUCCUGAGGGUUAUUUCAA